rnacentral:rRNA from 1 species
UGUCCAGACUCCUACGGGAGGCAGCAGUGAGGAAUAUUGGUCAAUGGGCGGGAGCCUGAACCAGCCAUGCCGCGUGAGGGCGAGUGCCCUACGGGCGUUAAACUUCUUUUGUGCGGGAGCAAUAAGGGCCACGCGUGGCCCGAUGAGAGUACCGCACGAAUAAGCAUCGGCUAACUCCGUGCCAGCAGCCGCGGUAAUACGGAGGAUGCGAGCGUUAUCCGGAUUUAUUGGGUUUAAAGGGUGCGUAGGCGGUUUUUUAAGUUAGUGGUUAAACGUCGGGGCUUCACCUUGAUUUGCCAUUAAUACUGUAAGACUCGAGUUCAGACGAGGUAGGCGGAAUAAGUUAAGUAGCGGUGAAAUGCUUAGAUAUAACGUAGAACUCCGAUAGCGAAGGCAGCUUACCAGACUGCGACUGACGCUGAAGCACGAGAGCGUGGGUAGCGAACAGGAUUAGAUACCCGAGUAGA